AAACCGAUCUCCCUCCACCAUCAUGGUGGAUUUUCCAAUCCCUUAAAUGCACCUAGAGGAGAGAGGAGGCUCCUGGAAGAGCUUAGAGCAAGGAACCACAGUACGUCUCAGCUCCUUCAGGAAAAUAUGAUUCAGCACAGCUGCGUGUCUCCUAUAAAAUCAUCCUGAGUCUGAAAAGGACAUCAGACUUUCACAAAUUGAGGUGCUAUGUGUCAUGCCUGGUUGUCGUCUCCUCUAAAUGACGCUGGAGUGAGCGAGGACGUCCCAUUUGAUGGAUUAAAUUCCUCUGUCCUCGCGUCUCUUCCUCGCAUCCUCUCUCACAUCCUUGCUGAGAGGUGCUAAGAUGCAAGGAAGAGACGCGAGUGAGGGAAGCGAGGAGACACUUUAGCAUAAUGAAAAGCACCCCAUGCAUGUCUGUACAACAUUUUAUCCAAUAGUUGUUGAGAUAUUUCAGUCUGUUUCCUCUCACACAGUGUCUUUGUGAUGAAUCAUUAAUUUCAGUCUAUUGUUUCAGUUAAUCUGGUAAUUUAUCAGCCAUGCUUCACAAAUAACAGAAUACAAGUUUUAGUUGAGUAGUUUGUGUUUCACAAUGUCAUGUUCUGUUGUGAUAGUGUGUUUUUUGUGUGCUUUGUGAGGUUAGGGCAGAUUGUCUACUUAAUCAGUGAUAGUGAAAACAGGUGUGUAUCAUUAGGUGCUCUAAGCAGUGAGUCACUAGGCUCUGUGGGUAAAACUGUUGUGUAGUAAAGUGACAUUUUGUUAAACUUAAUGCACUCAUUGCUGUGUUUGUGCCCAUUGAAAACUGUAACUGUAAGCAGUAACAAAUAAAUCCUAAAUUAAUGUUC